GACAACGGGGAAGUGGGGAUGACGUCAAGUCAUCAUGGCCCUUACGGCCUGGGCUACACACGUGCUACAAUGGUCGGUACAAAGGGUUGCCAAGCCGCGAGGUGGAGCUAAUCCCAUAAAACCGAUCGUAGUCCGGAUCGCAGUCUGCAACUCGACUGCGUGAAGUCGGAAUCGCUAGUAAUCGUGAACUCAGAAUGUCACGGUGAAUACGUUCCCGGGCCUU
rnacentral:rRNA from 1 species